rnacentral:rRNA from 1 species
UACGUAGGGGGCUAGCGUUGCUCGGAAUUACUGGGCGUAAAGGGCGCGUAGGCGGCUACUUAAGUCGGGGGUGAAAGCCCGGGGCUCAACCUCGGAAUUGCCUUCGAUACUGGGUAUCUUGAGUUCGGGAGAGGUGAGUGGAAUGCCGAGUGUAGAGGUGAAAUUCGUAGAUAUUCGGCGGAACACCAGUGGCGAAGGCGACUCACUGGCCCGAUACUGACGCUGAUGCGCGAAAGCGUGGGGAGCAAACAGG